UGCCAGCAGCCGCGGUAAUACGGAGGGGGUUAGCGUUGUUCGGAAUUACUGGGCGUAAAGCGCACGUAGGCGGACUGGAAAGUUGGGGGUGAAAUCCCAGGGCUCAACCCUGGAACUGCCUCCAAAACUAUCAGUCUAGAGUUCGAGAGAGGUGAGUGGAAUUCCGAGUGUAGAGGUGAAAUUCGUAGAUAUUCGGAGGAACACCAGUGGCGAAGGCGGCUCACUGGCUCGAUACUGACGCUGAGGUGCGAAGGCGUGGGUAGCGAACGGGAUUAGAUA
rnacentral:rRNA from 1 species